rnacentral:rRNA from 1 species
AUGGCAGAAGCGGCCGUCGGCGGGCCUCACCUCCCUGACGAGAUCGUCACCUGGGAGAUUCUCCUCCGCCUGCCGCCGAAGCCCCUCCUCCGCUGCCGCGCCGUCUGCCGCUCCUGGCACCGCCGCCUCACCUCCGACUCCAAAUUCCUCCUCGCCCACCACCGCCGCCAGCCCUCGCUCCCGCUCGUCACCACCGAAGACACCCAUGAGAGAAGGAUCGACGCCCUCGACCACAGCACCGGCGAGCGGCGCCCCGUUGCGCGGGCGGCCCGGACCGCAGCCGACGAGCACUUCGAGGUGCUCGCCUCCUGCGACGGCCUCCUUAUCCUCGUCGCCUACGGCGGCAUCUACAUCUGCAACCCGGCGACUCGCCAGCACGCGCCCCUCCCGCUGCUUCACGUCUACUGCAUCGCCGGGUUAUACUUUCACCGCCCGUCGGAGUCCUACCGAGUUCUGUGCUGCUUGAAGACAACCGAGGACGGCCAGUUCCGUGCCGUAUACCAGGUGUACACCCUAGGGUCCGGCGAGCUCAGGUGCAUCGGGAAGGCUCUCGAGCCGUGGACGUCCGGAGAUCUAGCGCGGGCGAUGCCGAUGAUGGUGUUAUUUCAACCGCACGUCCUGGCAGGCGGCAGGCUUUACUGGCAGCCCAUUAAGUUGCCUGGUGCUGGUGGCAACGGCAAGGUGAACAACAUGCUGGUGUUCGACACCAUGGCCGAGUCCUUCCAGCAUCUGCUUUCGCCAGUUGAGGGCUCCUGUCUUGAGCCGUUUGAGAUGAAAGACACUCUUGGAUUGUACGACUACCAUGGCAGCACGGCUGAUCUCUAGGUUCUAGAGGAUCACGAGAGCUGGGCCUGGUCGUUGAAGCACCGGAUCAAAUUGCAGGUGAUGGCCUUCUCUCUGGUGCCGGACAUCCAAGGAGGUGUGCUCCUUCUUUCUGACAAAGGGGAAUCAGGCUCUCUAUGGCAAUAUCUGCAGCAUGUUUCUGGUGCCGAUGGUAGUAUCUCCAUACGGUAUGAAUGGAGCGCUUAUCUGAAACUUAGGAGACAUAGGUUCAGUGAAAGUCUUGUUCAGCAUUCCUUCUUCUCGAUGGAAGGCAACAAUGGUGGUGGUGUGGAUGGAAAACCGUUGUUCGAUGGGUUGUCAACUGUGAAGGUGCUUACUGCUGAUAUUUCGGAGCUGCACUAA